ACAACAUUAACUAUGUUUGUGGAUCACCACAUGUUCUAUUGGAACAAGAGAAAAGGAGAAGAAGGGGAUGGAUGAGCAAGGACCAGAAGGACCAGAAGAAGAAGGGCAAGGGAGAUGGGGCGAUGUGCAUGUCCAUGGAGGUGUUGUUGUUGUGGGUUGGUGCUGCUGCUGUUGCAGGGGCAGCAGUGUCUCCAAGCAAACAGGUUGUUGUGUACCUACGACAUAUUUCUGUGCUCCUGGAUGUGCUACAUCACCUCAUCCUCUCAUUGGCCGCCU